rnacentral:tRNA from 2 species
GGGGGCGUAGCGCAGUUGGGAGCGCGUUUGAAUGGCAUUCAAAAGGUCGUCGGUUCGAUCCCGAUCGUCUCCACCA